GAUGAACGCUGGCGGCGUGCCUAAUACAUGCAAGUCGAGCGAACGGACGAGAAGCUUGCUUUUCUGAUGUUAGCGGCGGACGGGUGAGUAACACGUGGAUAACCUACCUAUAAGACUGGGAUAACUUCGGGAAACCGGAGCUAAUACUGGAUAAUAUUUUGAACCGCAUGGUUCAAAAGUGAAAGACGGUCUUGCUGUCACUUAUAGAUGGAUCCGCGCUGCAUUAGCUAGUUGGUAAGGUAACGGCUUACCAAGGCAACGAUGCAUAGCCGACCUGAGAGGGUGAUCGGCCACACUGGAACUGAGACACGGUCCAGACUCCUACGGGAGGCAGCAGUAGGGAAUCUUCCGCGAUGGGCGAAAGCCUGACGGAGCAACGCCGCGUGAGUGAUGAAGGUCUUCGGAUCGUAAAACUCUGUUAUUAGGGAAGAACAUAUGUGUAAGUAACUGUGCACAUCUUGACGGUACCUAAUCAGAAAGCCACGGCUAACUACG
rnacentral:rRNA from 1 species